GACCGCUGAACACCCCUCCCCCCCCUCCUGUGACAGGCACCGCGGUGGCCGGCGGCUUCAGGACUGUGCGCAUCAUUAUGAGUCCCCACAGUCACAGAUGACUCAUACAGCCGGGCCCCCAACUGUGAGCCGCUCCUGCCAUCAGUGGAGAUCCAGGGGAGGGGAAAUAUACCUGCUCUGUUGUGUCCUAUGUGUACACAUAUGGACCCCUUCACUGCCUUCCUAUAGCAGUGUUUCCCAAGCAGUGUGCAUCCAGCUGUUGAAAACCACAGCUCCCAGCAUGCCCAGAUAGCCAAAAGCUGUCUGGAUAUGCUGGGAGUUGUAGUUUUGCUAUAUCUGUAUGCACCUGCUUGGGAAACACUGCCAUACACACAGCGAUCUCAACCUCCAGCUCAGCUCCUCCCCUGCUGGUCAUGUGAUCAUAGACUCAUACGGAGGCCUGCUGGGGUCAGAGGAAGGACCAGAGUGCAGGUGAACAGUGGAUGAUGGCAUGACAGGCAGGUUACAUAGGUAACACUAUAAAUACUGUGCCCUGACCCCUGCCAAUCCUCACCCCAUUAGGAUCAGACUCCGCUGACAAAGUAAUGAACCAAUGCCAUCUGGGCGUCAAGUUCUGCAAAGAGAAGAUUUAGCUGGACCCACUGGCAACAAAGAAGACAAGACAUUUCAAGGAUCAGAGGGAGGAUGGCCAGGAGCAGCCGAAUACAACCAACAAACCAAGAAGAUUGGUUCCUAGCAUGCCUUCAAAAUGCCUAGGACAGGAUAAAGAAAACAUUCAGCAAAGAGAAGUUGAAAGGGGUAAUCCAGGAUGAGAAAAUCCGAGCUGAUUUCUUCUGAAAACUGCACCACCUCUGUCCUAAUGUUGUGUGUGAUAUCGCUGCUCAAUUCUUCAAAAGGGAAUGGAGAAAACUUGUAAUAUUACAUACAACAUGAGGACAGGUAUGGUGCUGUUUUUGGAAACAAAUAGCUCUGUUUUCUAUUCCCUUUUAACAAACUCCUAGGAUGCAGCAACAUUCAUCUGAUGGACGGCACAGGCAACAAAGAAGACAAGACAUUUCAAGGAUCAGAGGGAGGAUGGCCAGGAGCAGCCGAAUACAACCAACAAACCAAGAAGAUUGGUUCCUAGCAUGCCUUCAAAAUGCCUAGGACAGGAUAAAGAAAACAUUCAGCAAAGAGAAGUUGAAAGGGGUAAUCCAGGAUGAGAAAAUCAGAGCUGAUUUCUUCUGAAAACUGCACCACCUCUGUCCUAAUGUUGUGUGUGAUAUCGCUGCUCAAUUCUUCAAAAGGGAAUGGAGAAAACUUGUAAUAUUACAUACAACAUGAGGACAGGUAUGGUGCUGUUUUUGGAAACAAAUAGCUCUGUUUUCUAUUCCCUUUUAACAAACUCCUAGGAUGCAGCAACAUUCAUCUGAUGGACGGCACAGGUAGGACACUACAUGUUUUUCUAUACAUUUCUCACUAUUAACACCAGAUUCAUGUAACUAACACAAUCAUUUCAAUGGCCUCAGUGCUGAACUUCUAGACACAUGGGAUAUUUAUCAAAACCUAUGUACAGGAAGAGUAUCAUCUUUCAUCCUUUAGAGAUUUUUGGUGAGAUUUAUCAAAAUCUGUGCAAAGGAAAAGUUGACCAGUUGCCAAUAGCAACCAAUCAGAUUAAUUUUCAUUGUCAGAUUAAAAUUAAUUUUGCAGAGGCCUUGUUAAAAAUAAAAUAAGCAAGCUGAUUGGUUGCUAUGGGCAACUGGGCAACAUUUCCUCUGCACAGGUUUUGAUAAAUUGUGAGCUCCUGGAGGGGACUUUUUUUGUGCGAACUUGGCGAGUAGUACUGGUUGCCUAGUUUUGGUCACCCCAAUGUGAAAUCAGUCAAAUGCAUUCUACACCUCCCCCUUUUUUCUUUAUACACUUUCCCUACAAUAUCUUUCACCCCCCUGCUAUUUGGGGAAAUUGGAGAAGGGAGUUCUUACACACAUUGUGUUUAAUUUUUUGCGCAAAGUUUUGCGCAAGCUGUUUUUUUUUGCGUCUUUUUUUGCGCACAUUUCCUCCAGAUGUGUAAGUUUUGGUGUACCUUGGAGUGACAUAUUUAGUACACACAAAUUUAUUAACUGCGUACAUUUCAUUUACCGACAGAAAUCUUGCGGGAUGACCAUAUUUUUAAAGCCAUCUUGGACUGCACUUAGCAAGAUGCUCUAAAUCAUGCAUUUAAUUUUCCAUUUGGAUUGCGGAGAUUACUAUGCUUUUGUCGCCAGUCAGAUUAUCUCUGUGAUACUU